rnacentral:lncRNA from 1 species
GUUUCAUUGGCGUUUCCCAAAUCUUUAAAAAAAAGGUUAACCGUUCAAACACCAAAUAAGAAUUAAAAUGAAUAGUCGACUGCUGUAGAUGGUGCCAUUUCUAAACGUUUUUGCAACAACUCUUUGAGGGGUCCGUAGGUGGCCUGUUACAAGACAAAAUUUCUGAUCCUAUCCAAUAUACCCUCAUUUUCCAGUGGCAGUCCAAAUUUCCCGGACCAUCAUCCCAGAUGGUCUCUAUUGUAUCAACCUACCUAUUGUAUUUAUUGUGAACUUGUUCUCGUCCUGAAUAUGCAUGAACU